rnacentral:rRNA from 1 species
CAAAAACAUGGUCUUUUGUUUAUAUAAAAGAUUUGACCUGCCCAAUGAUUGUUAUUUAAUGGCUGCAGUAUUUUGACUGUACAAAGGUAGCAUAAUCAUUUGUCUUUUAAUUGAAGUCUGGAAUGAAUGGUUUGAUGAAAAAUAUACUUUCUUUAUUUUAUAGAGGAAACUUAAUUUUUUAGUUAAAAAGCUAAAAUUUUUUUGUAGGACGAGAAGACCCUAUAGAACUUUAUUUUUGGAUUUAUAUAUUUAAUGUGGUAAAUAUCUUGGGUAUAUUUUGUUUGAAUUUUGUUGGGGUGACAGAAAAAUUUUAAUAACUUUUUCUACUUAAUUCAUUGUUUUAUGUAUUUUUGAUCCUUUUUUAGGGAUAAAAGACUAAGUUACCUUAGGGAUAACAGCGUUAUUGUUUCAGAGAGUUCAUAUCGAUGAAAUAGUUUGCGACCUCGAUGUUGGAUUAUAAUUAGAUGUGGGAGUAUAAUAUCAUAUUCUAGGUCUGUUCGACCUUUAAAUUUUUACAUGAUCUG